rnacentral:rRNA from 1 species
AACGAACGCUGGCGGCAGGCUUAACACAUGCAAGUCGAGCGCAUCCUUCGGGGUGAGCGGCGGACGGGUGAGUAACGCGUGGGAACGUGCCCUCUUCUACGGAAUAGCCUCGGGAAACUGAGAGUAAUGCCGUAUACGCCCGCAAGGGGAAAGAUUUAUCGGAGGAGGAUCGGCCCGCGUUGGGUUAGGUAGUUGGUGGGGUAACGGCCUACCAAGCCGACGAUCCAUAGCUGGUUUGAGAGGAUGAUCAGCCACACUGGGACUGAGACACGGCCCAGACUCCUACGGGAGGCAGCAGUGGGGAAUCUUGGACAAUGGGGGCAACCCUGAUCCAGCCAUGCCGCGUGAUCGAUGAAGGCCUUAGGGUUGUAAAGAUCUUUCAGCUGGGAAGAUAAUGACGGUACCAGCAGAAGAAGCCCCGGCUAACUCCGUG